GAUGAACGCUGGCGGCGUGCUUAACACAUGCAAGUCGAACGAACCUUCGGGUUAGUGGCGGACGGGUGAGUAACGCGUGAGAAUCUGCCCUCAGGAGGGGGAUAACGGUUGGAAACGGCCGCUAAUACCCCAUAUGCCGCGAGGUGAAAUGAAUUUCGCCUGAGGAUGAGCUCGCGUCUGAUUAGCUAGUUGGUGUAGGUAAUGGCUCACCAAGGCAUCGAUCAGUAGCUGGUCUGAGAGGAUGAUCAGCCACACUGGGACUGAGACACGGCCCAGACUCCUACGGGAGGCAGCAGUGGGGAAUUUUCCGCAAUGGGCGAAAGCCUGACGGAGCGACGCCGCGUGCGGGAUGAAGGCCUUCGGGUUGUAAACCG
rnacentral:rRNA from 1 species